UAUUUACUUCCUCUGUUCAAGAAAAGAUGUUUCAAAUUUGUCAAAAUUUGGAUGUAUUUAAACAUGACCUAGUGUAUAGAUGCAUUCAAAUUUGGUUAAAGUUAAGACAUUUUUUUUUGUUGGACGGAAGAAGUAAUAU
rnacentral:pre_miRNA from 1 species